GUUUUUAGUUUAUAAUUAAAAAUUCGGUCUGCUCACUGAUUAAAUUUAAAGAGCCGCAGUAUUAUGACUGUGCAAAGGUAGCAUAGUCAAUAGUUUUUUAAUUGAAAACUGGAAUGAAAGAUUAGACGAAAAAUUAUCUUUCUUUAUUUUAAAAAUUGAAUUUAAAAUUUAAGUUAAAAUUCUUAAAUAAUAUUAAAAGACGAGAAGACCCUAUAGAUUUUUAUUUUUAUUAUUUUAUUUAUAUAAAAUAACAAAAAUUUAAUUGGGGCGAUUUUGUAAUAUAAAAAACUUAAAUGUAUUUAACCAAAAAUUAAUGAAAGUUUAGAUCAAAAAUUUUUUAAUUGAGUUUAAAUUACCUUAGGGAUAACAGCGUAAUUUUAUUUAAGAGUUCAUAUCUAUAAUAAAGAUUGCGACCUCGAUGUUGAAUUAAGAAAUUUAUUGGAGUAGAAAUUAGUAUAAAUUAGUCUGUUCGACUAUUAAAUUCU
rnacentral:rRNA from 1 species